AACGAACGCUGGCGGCAGGCCUAACACAUGCAAGUCGAACGCCCUAGCAAUAGGGAGUGGCAGACGGGUGAGUAACACGUGGGAACGUGCCUUUCGGUUCGGAAUAACCCAGGGAAACUUGGACUAAUACCGGAUACGUGCGAGAGCAGAAAGAUUUAUCGCCGAAAGAUCGGCCCGCGUCCGAUUAGCUAGUUGGUGAGGUAACGGCUCACCAAGGCGACGAUCGGUAGCUGGUCNGAGAGGA
rnacentral:rRNA from 1 species